UUUGAACAGGUUCUGCGCAUCGCGUUUUUUUCGUAUUGCGCAGCUUUGUUUAACGGUCAGAAAAAGUAUACCAUGUUGCAUUAGAAGGAAGUCACGUAAUGCAUAAAGUGUUUGAAGCUGUAAUGGCGGACAUUCAAUUUGGCGGGUAAUUUUUACAAAUCAAUCGUAUCAUAAAAUAUUCAUACAUAUACACAUUUGACAAUAAUAAAAAAUACUUUGAAAAAUAUUUUAAAUAAACUAACGAUACAUUCUCUUUCGUAUUCUUGGUAUGAUAUUUCUAUGCAUAUUUUCGUUCUCUUGAUAUGAUAUAUGGUUCUACCUAUUGUAAUCAUAAUUAAUUCGUAGUUUUAACAAAGCAGUAUUUUCGUAAACAAACACACGACUCCCUAUCCCUUACCUCUUAUAAAGUUUUUCUUUCAGAAUAUUUUUGUGACCGUGCGCAAUGCGGUUGGUAAAGUCAGUGUUUGCUGCGUUAAAUCACAUUUAAUAUUGACUUAGUACAUAACAAUCUUCAUUAGAUUUAGUUAUAAUAAUCAGACGCGAAAUUAGAGUCAGUGUGUUCGCCGAUUGUCAUUUGACUUAAACGGACGCGGAAUAGUCUAUUAUUUUUUUUUUUUUUUGUUGUUGUUGUUAAACAUUCGUUUUCGGUAGUAGAAUCGCAGGUCUCGCAAGAGGAUAAAGCCUUUCCUGGAGCUCAAGAAUGUUUUUCAUAACUUCCAUCUUUUUCCCUCUUCUUUGGGAAGGAUGUAGCGGUGUUUUAAAUUUAUACAUGUAUGCCACUUCUUCCCCUUCUUCCUGUUUCCUGGAAAAUACCUAGUGGUAUUUCAAAAGCCAAAAAUUUCACCUCUACGAGAGCUGACCUUGGGGCCAUGCCUGAGCCGAAGAGUAUCGAUCAAACGAAAGAAAACGAUAUCACUGUGAGUUUCUAUAUCACGAUCUGUCGCCACGGUAACCGCAAACCUACGUACUCGAAUAUUCCCUAAUCACCUUUGUGUCGUCGUUAUUACUUAUAAAUCGGAUAAAUAUGAGUCAUAAACAGCUCGGGUAACGAGAAAAACAAGCAGUAUUUUAUAAUCCGUGAAAGAAUUAUUCGUUUAACUAGUCAAUCGAUGUUUAACUUUAAGAAACAGAAGUAUCGAGGUUUUUUUAUAAUAAUGAAAAUAGAACAUCGUGUCAUAUGUAACAAUGGACUUACAUCAUUCUGAUUUUCAAUCUGUCAUAUAAAUGAAUCACGCGUCGACUAUACUUAAAGCGUUCUGUGUUCUUGUAUUCCAAUACGAUGCUAGGAAAAACAGUAAAAUAAAAUAAAAUAGUGACGACAAGGAAAAAUUGGUCCAAAGUGGUGUUCGAAGGUCGCAGAGGCAGUAUCAUCAGUGUCGGAAGGAAUAGUGGAAGAAGCAGAGAUAGGAAGACAACACGAGGCAUCCAUAAGCGACCACUGGGUCACAGCAAUCGGUGCAACGUCCUGACCUAUCUCCGUCUUCUUUUUUCCACACCAUACACACUCUUUUAUCUAAUAUGUGUACACUUUUUUCCUCACGAUCUUUGGCAUCCCUUCCAAUUCAUCAUCUCUACUCAUUUCCCUCGAGGCAAUCUAACUUCUCUUUCUCUUCUUAAAGUCUGUCAUAGCUCUUCGUAUCUUACCUCAUUGCCAGUUAAACUAUUGUGUACAUACUCACAGGCUCAAGAAAAUAUUGAAACACUUGUUGAUACAUCUUUCAUGAAUGUAUUAUGUGUGUAAUACGAAACGUUUUGAAAUUUCAUUAACACUGUUAUGAAAGGUGACUAUCAUUAUCACACUGGUGAAGCUUGAAACAAAUCUGAAAAUAAUAAUAGAAAAUUAGCACAGAAAACGU